GAUUCCAAGACAUCAGCCUGACUUCAUUUGCCCAGAAGGUUAAAUGAUGGAAGCUAAAAGGAACAUCAUUGAUAAAUGACCUGGCUCAAAUCCUGUGAUGAUGUCAAUAAUGAAUAACAAUUCCAGUCAAGGUAUUAUCUUUGGCUAAGUUACUUGAAUGCCUCAAUACCCUUUGGGACCAGCUCCUGAGUGACUCGAGCAUUAACGGCACUGCAUUAAGUUCCCGCCAUCUCUGCCUGAGGGACCAUAAACCAUGUCUCCCACCUGCAUGAAGAAUGCUUUCAUCAGCUAACAACAGUUAUACUGAAUCUGGAAGCUCUCAGUCUUCUUGUUAAGCUGUUUCACUUUGUGUAAAACAAACACUCCUUCACACAGAGGGGGAACCAGUACUGCCUUCUACCUGAGUUUCCUAACCGCUCGUCUAAACAUCCGUCUUCAUCUGCUUUCUGACAUGACAGCAUCCUCUGCAACAGGACAGCCCGCAUCCUACUAGACUAUCCUAAUGGCAAAGCUAUGAGGGGAAAAGAUUACCGGAGUAUCAAAGUGGGCUGGACACAUCUUUGGUACAAAUUACUCCUGGAAACACCAUAAAUUGUGGCCACAUGAAGAACAGGAAAUCUAGAAACCGUGGCAGAGGAUGCUCAGGACCCAGUGAACACAGAAAAAUCCUUAGGAAGGAGGCACACCUGGUUCUUUGCACUAUUGAAGCAACCUGUUACAGUCACAUGUUAAUGUGACAUAUGGCCAGCCUCUGAAUAGACAUCUAAAGACUUGGAACUAUCAUUUUUUCUUUCUUUUUUGGAGUCACAGAACCGUUUCCCUCACCCUUAGCUGUUUGCGCAUCUGUUUUUCUGCAACAACGCAUGGAUUCAAUGACAAUGUAAGUUUCCUUGUCCCAGGGAAUUCUAUUAAUG